CCUACGGGAGGCAGCAGUGGGGAAUAUUGCGCAAUGGGGGGAACCCUGACGCAGCAACGCCGCGUGAGUGAAGAAGGCCUUCGGGUUGUAAAGCUCUAUAAUCAGGGACGAAGAAUGACGGUAACUGAAGAAUAAGCUCCGGCUAACUACGUGCCAGCAGGCGCGGUAAUACGGAGGGAGCAAGCGGUAUCCGGAUUGAAUGGGUGGAAAGGGCGGGUAGGCGGGCCUGCAAGUCAGAAGUGAAAUCUGGGGGCUUAACCCCCAAACAGCUUUUGAAACUGUGGGUCUUGAGUGAUGGGGAGGCAGUCGGAAUUCCCAGUGUAGCGGUGAAAUGCGUAGAUAUUGGGAGGAACACCAGUGGCGAGGGCGGCCUGCUGGACAUUAACUGACGCUGAGGCGCGAAAGCGUGGGGAGCAAACAGGAUUAGAUACCCGUGUAGUC
rnacentral:rRNA from 1 species